rnacentral:rRNA from 1 species
GACGGGGCCCGCACAAGCGGUGGAGCAUGUGGUUUAAUUCGAAGCAACGCGAAGAACCUUACCAGGUCUUGACAUCCCCUGACAACCCAAGAGAUUGGGCGUUCCCCUUCGGGGGACAGGGUGACAGGUGGUGCAUGGUUGUCGUCAGCUCGUGUCGUGAGAUGUUGGGUUAAGUCCCGCAACGAGCGCAACCCUCGCCUCUAGUUGCCAGCAUUCGGUUGGGCACUCUAGAGGGACUGCCGGCGACAAGUCGGAGGAAGGUGGGGAUGACGUCAAAUCAUCAUGCCCCUUAUGACCUGGGCUACACACGUGCUACAAUGGGCGGUACAAAGGGCUGCGAACCCGCGAGGGGGAGCGAAUCCCAAAAAGCCGCUCUCAGUUCGGAUUGCAGGCUGCAACUCGCCUGCAUGAAGCCGGAAUCGCUAGUAAUCGCGGGUCAGCCACACCGCGGUGAAUACGUACUCGGGGCUU